rnacentral:rRNA from 1 species
GUGAGGAAUUUUCCGCAAUGGGCGAAAGCCUGACGGAGCAAUGCCGCGUGAAGGAUGAAGGCCUAUGGGUUGUAAACUUCUUUUCUCAGAAAAGAAUUAUGACGGUAUCUGAGGAAUAAGCAUCGGCUAACUCUGUGCCAGCAGCCGCGGUAAGACAGAGGAUGCAAGCGUUAUCCGGAAUGAUUGGGCGUAAAGCGUCUGUAGGUUGUUUAAAAAGUAUUCUGUCAAAGAUUAGGGCUUAACCCUAGAUAGGCAGAAUAAACUUUUAAGCUAGAGUGUGAUCGAGGCAGAGGCAAGUCCCGGUGGAGCGGUGAAAUGCGUAGAUAUCGGGAGGAACACCAAAGGCGAACGCACUCUGCUGGGCCAAUACUAACACUGAGAGACGAAAGCGAGGGGAGCAAAUGGGAUUAGAUACCCUGGUAGUCC